rnacentral:rRNA from 1 species
GUAGCCGACCUGAGAGGGUGAUCGGCCACAUUGGAACUGAGACACGGUCCAGACUCCUACGGGAGGCAGCAGUGGGGAAUAUUGCGCAAUGGGGGAAACCCUGACGCAGCAACGCCGCGUGGGUGAUGAAGGUCUUCGGAUUGUAAAGCCCUGUUUUCUGGGACGAUAAUGACGGUACCAGAGGAGGAAGCCACGGCUAACUACGUGCCAGCAGCCGCGGUAAUACGUAGGUGGCGAGCGUUGUCCGGAUUUACUGGGCGUAAAGGGUGCGUAGGCGGAUGUUUAAGUGGGAUGUGAAAUCCCCGGGCUUAACCUGGGGGCUGCAUUCCAAACUGGAUAUCUAGAGUGCAGGAGAGGAAAGCGGAAUUCCUAGUGUAGCGGUGAAAUGCGUAGAGAUUAGGAAGAACACCAGUGGCGAAGGCGGCUUUCUGGACUGUAACUGACGCUGAGGCACGAAAGCGUGGGUAGCAAACAGGAUUAGAUACCCUGGUAGUCCACGCCGUAAACGAUGGAUACUAGGUGUAGGGGGUAUCAACUCCCCCUGUGCCGCAGUUAACACAAUAAGUAUCCCGCCUGGGGAGUACGGUCGCAAGAUUAAAACUCAAAGGAAUUGACGGGGGCCCGCACAAGCAGCGGAGCAUGUGGUUUAAUUCGAAGCAACGCGAAGAACCUUACCUGGACUUGACAUCCCUUGCAUAGCCUAGA